rnacentral:rRNA from 1 species
UACGGGGGGGGCAAGCGUUGUUCGGAAUUACUGGGCGUAAAGGGCUCGUAGGUGGCCAACUAAGUCGGACGUGAAAUCCCUCAGCUUAACUGGGGAACUGCGUCCGAUACUGGAUGGCUUGAGUUUGGGAGAGGGAUGCGGAAUUCCAGGUGUAGCGGUGAAAUGCGUAGAUAUCUGGAGGAACACCGGUGGCGAAAGCGGCUCUCUGGACCACAACUGACGCUGAGGCGCGAAAGCUAGGGGAGCAGACAGG